rnacentral:rRNA from 1 species
UACGUAGGGGGCAAGCGUUGUCCGGAAUCAUUGGGCGUAAAGAGCGUGUAGGCGGCCUGGUAAGUCCGCUGUGAAAGUCCAGGGCUCAACCCUGGAAUGGCCGGUGGAAACUGUCAGGCUCGAGUCCGGAAGAGGCGAAGUGGAAUUCCUGGUGUAGCGGUGAAAUGGCGCAGGAUAUCGGGAAGAACACCGGUGGCGAAGGCGGUUCACUGGGCCUUACCUGAC